rnacentral:rRNA from 1 species
UACAGAGGUCCCGAGCGUUGUUCGGAUUCAUUGGGCGUAAAGGGUGCGUAGGUGGCGCCGUAAGUGGGGUGUGAAAUCCCGGGGCUUAACCCCGGGACUGCAUUCCAUACUGCGGUGCUUGAGGACUGGAGAGGAGACUGGAAUUUACGGUGUAGCAGUGAAAUGCGUAGAUAUUGGAAAGACCACCGAUGGCGAAGGCACUCUACUGGGCCAUUACUGACACUGAGAGACGAAAGCUAGGGGAGCAAAUGGG